AACGCGAAGAACCUUACCUACUCUUGAUAUCCAGAGAAUUUGCUAGAGAUAGCUUAGUGCCUUCGGGAACUCUGAGCAAAAGGUGCUGCAUGGCUGUCGUCAGCUCGUGUUGUGAAAUGUUGGGUUAAGUCCCGCAACGAGCGCAACCCUUAUUCUUUGUUGCCAGCGAGUAAUGUCGGGAACGUCAAAGGAGACUGCCGGUGAUAAACCGGAGGAAGGUGGGAUGACGUCAAAUCAUCAUGCCCCUUAUGACCUGGGCUACACACGUGCUACAAUGGUUGGUACAACGAGUUGCGAGUCGGUGACGGCGAGCUAAUCUCUUAAAGCCAAUCUCAGUUCGGAUUGUAGGCUGCAACUCGCCUACAUGAAGUCGGAAUCGCUAGUAAUCGCGGAUCAGCACGCCGCGGUGAAUACGUUCCCGGGCCUU
rnacentral:rRNA from 1 species